UAAAGUAUUAAGUACAUCUAAUAGUUCUAUGUAUAAAAAUUGACAAUUUAUCUCAAAAUAUGUGAAUACAGGGCAAUUCUAUUAAAGUACCAAAUUUGCUAAAAAAUGUUGUUGAAAAUGGACCUUUUUUUUUUUUUUUUAUUGAAUAGUUCAAAGUAUUAUAUGACAAAAAAAACAGUUUUACCUUAAAAUUCAGACUUUCUACUAAAACAAACUGUAAUUUUGAUCUUAUUUCAACCUUUAUUUUUGUUUUUAUUUUUAUUGACAUAAAUGUGUUUUUCUAGAAUUUGAAUCCAGCCUGUACUGAAAAUGUCCAUAAAACCUCAAAAGUCGCUCAAAUUGAAACAAUAUUUUGUUAAACGUUAUGGUUCACUACAAGCUACUAUUCCUUAACGGGAUUUUCGUUGCAAAUUGAUAUAAGCUUAUUUAAAUAAAUGAUGAAAAACUGAAAAAUAUACCUAAAAUUAUCUCCCUUUGUAAAACUCUUCACAAUAUAAGUCAGAUUUAUUGUCAAUAACAGAAGGAGGGAAAUCAACAAAUGUGCAAAAGGAUAGAAAAUAAUGGUAUUUUUGAUGAAUAUGGUGUAGCCAAAAACUUAUUUCAUUGAAAGAGUGUAACAAAAACAUAGUAAACCAUGUGGCCAAGACAUUCCAACUGCCAUUGGGAUAUUAAAAGUCUGAUCCUGAUCAGAUAGUCUAGACAUGACAUGAGGCUAGACUCACUAUCUGAUAAUCAUGUCUAGGUUUCAGACUCACAUAACAUAAUGUUAAAUGCAUAUGCUGCAAACAUGGACAGGAGUUGGAUUGCAGUGGACAAGAAGACAAAAUGAGUUGCUGUCAUCCUUUCAUGACCCUUGCAAAUCUAGCAACGGAAAUUCGUAGGCAAAACGUUCAGUUUCAUUUGGUUCUGGUUAAUGUUGAAGAUGGAAAAGCACAAAAAAAAUAUAAAAAUGAAAGCAGAUACAUGUAUGAUAGGAGAUCUUAUAGAUAUUUGGUGAUCCAAAAAUAACUGGAGUUCAUGAAACAAGACUGAUUGCUGGGACACAUUUUUGUUGAUAAACAUGUUUAUGAUGAAGAAAAACUUAGAUAAUAUUACGGAUACUUGAAUAAGGCUCUGAUCUGUCUUUGAUUUUUCCUGUUGGUGUUAAAAAAUUGCAAGCUCAAAUAAAAAUAAAUUGAAAUGGAACUCAUGGAUAUGCUUUGAAAAAAAGAAAUAAACAGCAAUGUGAAUCUCGCCGAAGUCUUACCAACAACCAAGUCAACACACAGUUGCAACACAAAUGAGAAGAGAGAGACAUUUGCAAGGACUUAGAGUGUUCUCACUGUCUCACCAUUAGAAUGGCUUUCUCAUCAGCAAAGAAGAAGUCUAAAAAUUACUUCUGCAUUAAAAGGUCAUCAAUAUUGAAGACAAUCAAGAAGUUUACGGUUGUACUUGGCCAUUUGAUAAACAUUAUAAUAUUUUCAUUUGUCAGAAAUUGUUACUUAGAUUGACUAACUAGUUUUAUUGAUUGAAUUAUUAGUAAAUUAGCUUUCGUAGUUCAUGUAGUUACAUGUAUGUAAAUCUUUAUCAGAUAUUAUGGAAAUAAUUUAAUACGUCCCUAAAUUCCAUACCUAAUGCAACAAUUGUCUUGUGCUGCUAAGUCAAUUUGAAUUAACUUUUAUGUAUGUUUAUAGUAAUCUUAUUCUUGCAUUUAAGCAUCAUUUUGUGUUAUUGUAUCAUCUACAUUGAUUGUUAAAUAUAAUACUAAUGGUAUAAAUAAAAUAACAUUUCUGAUCAUUUAAACACAGAUUGAAAUAUUUAUAAAUAUAUCAAUGCUAAAAGGAAUUUAGACAUUUUUCGAGGAGAAUUUAAGAAAGUACUACAACAAAAGCAAACGAAUAGUAUAUGCUCAACUGCAAUAUUAACUUUCUCACCAGAUAACCUAAUAGAGAUAUAUUUGUAUUUUAUUAAAUUGAUGAAGCGUAUGUUAGUUUAAAUAAAUAUGUACAUGCAAUUUUAAGGUUUUAAAAAAACAACAUUUUUAUUGGAUUAUCUCCCUUUGUACAAUAGAAAUUCAGAUUUUAUCAUCACUGUCUCAGGUACUCAUGAUCAAAAUGACUUAUAUUGUUACCAGCAUGCAAGUAAAAGGUUGCAACUGUCUUAUCUUUGUUUACCUGUAGAACACAUAUUCUGAAUGUCAAUACUUAAGAUUUUUCAAUAUGAUGAACUUGAUAUUAAAUUUCAUAUCAUUUUUGAGUAACCAGAAUAAA